UACGUAGGGUGCAAGCGUUGUCCGGAAUUACUGGGCGUAAAGCGCGUGUAGGUGGUGGGACAAGUCUGCUGUGAAAGCGCCUGGCUUAACCGGGCGAGGUCGGCGGAAACUGUUCGACUCGAGGACGGUAGAGGAGACUGGAAUUUACGGUGUAGCAGUGAAAUGCGUAGAGAUCGUAAGGAAGACCAGUGGCGAAGGCGGGUCUCUGGACAGUUCCUGACACUGAGGCACGAAGGCCAGGGGAGCAAACGGG
rnacentral:rRNA from 1 species